AGUCGGGGGAGCAGCGGUCCCCUGUAUCGGAAGUCCGCUAUAUGCCGAGAUGAUGCCCUGCCUAGGAUUUGAAGUGAAGGUCAGCCCUUUUUGCGCGGUGUUGAGAUCUGGGUCCUGCGCGGCGGAAACCCGCGAACCGUGUCAGGUUGGGAACAAAGCAGCACUAAACGGGAUCUUCCGGGUGCCGCAGGGUCGCCUGGGUUGAGCUGUUGCAUUGAGUAAGCUCUCCUUUGCCGAGGUUCGAAGCAGGGCGCCC
rnacentral:SRP_RNA from 1 species